UACGUAUGGGGCAAGCGUUAUCCGGAUUUACUGGGUGUAAAGGGAGCGUAGACGGUUAUGUAAGUCUGAAGUGAAAGCCCGGGGCCCAACCCCGGGACUGCUUUGGAAACUGUGUAACUAGAGUACAGGAGGGGCAGGCGGAAUUCCUGGUGUAGCGGUGAAAUGCGUAGAUAUCAGGAGGAACACCGGCGGCGAAGGCGGCCUGCUGGACUGAAACUGACGUUGAGGCUCGAAAGCGUGGGGAGCAAACAGG
rnacentral:rRNA from 1 species